rnacentral:rRNA from 1 species
UACGUAGGGUGCAGGCGUUAAUCGGAAUUACUGGGCGUAAAGCGUGCGCAGGCGGUUUGCUAAGACAGGUGUGAAAUCCCCGGGCUUAACCUGGGAACUGCGCUUGUAACUGGCAAGCUAGAGUGUGGCAGAGGGGGGUGGAAUUCCACGUGUAGCAGUGAAAUGCGUAGAGAUCCGGAGGAACACCAGUGGCGAAGGCGGCCCCCUGGGCCGCGCCUGACCGCUGAGACGCGAAAGCGCCGGGGAGCGAACGGG